rnacentral:rRNA from 1 species
GAUGAACGCUGGCGGCGUGCCUAAUACAUGCAAGUCGAGCGAACAGACGAGAGUGCUUGCACUCUCUGACGUUAGCGGCGGACGGGUGAGUAACACGUGGGUAACCUACCUAUAAGACUGGGAUAACUUCGGGAAACCGGAGCUAAUACCGGAUAAUAUUUAGCUUCGCAUGAAGCAAUAGUGAAAGACUGUUCUGCUGUCACUUAUAGAUGGACCCGCGGUGUAUUAGCUAGUUGGUGAGGUAACGGCUCACCAAGGCAACGAUACAUAGCCGACCUGAGAGGGUGAUCGGCCACACUGGGACUGAGACACGGCCCAGACUCCUGCGGGAGGCAGCAGUAGGGAAUCUUCCGCAAUGGACGAAAGUCUGACGGAGCAAUGCCGCGUGAGUGAAGAAGGUUUUCGGAUCGUAAAACUCUGUUGUAAGGGAAGAACAAGUACGUUAGUAACUGAACGUACCUUGACGGUACCUUACCAGAAAGCCACGGCUAACUACGUG